GACGAACGCUGGCGGCGUGCUUAACACAUGCAAGUCGAGCGGUAAGGCCCUUUCGGGGGUACACGAGCGGCGAACGGGUGAGUAACACGUGGGUGACCUGCCCUCAGCUCUGGGAUAAGCCUGGGAAACCGGGUCUAAUACUGGAUAUGACUCCAUGACGCAUGUUGUGGGGUGGAAAGCCUUGUGCGGCUGAGGAUGGGCCCGCGGCCUAUCAGCUUGUUGGUGGGGUGANGGCCUACCAAGGCGACGACGGGUAGCCGGCCUGAGAGGGCGACCGGCCACACUGGGACUGAGACACGGCCCAGACUCCUACGGGAGGCAGCAGUGGGGAAUCUUGCGCAAUGGGCGAAAGCCUGACGCAGCGGCGCCGCGUGAGGGAUGACGGCC
rnacentral:rRNA from 1 species